CUUUGUGCGUGCUGGUCUUGCUGGUCUUCCAUGUUUUAAUCUAAUCUAUUCAUUCCACACGAAAGCUCGUAACUCAGUCAAACCUGCAAGAUACGUCUCUGAAACUAAAGCUCACACUCACUUCCUCACGCGCUUUUCUUUGAUGCAAGAAAUCAUCUUUCUUUUUCCGGUUUAAACUUUGUUCCUCUCUUUCUUUCUCACUCUCUCUCUCCAAGUGGAGUUUUCAUUUGGAUGGGAAAAUGUCAGGGUCUCGUGGCAUAUUAGCAGGUUUAGGGUCUUCUUGGUGAGAAAAAAAAGUACAUUUUCUUCUCUCCUUUUCAGUGUUGUGUUUUUCCAAACAUGUGGAGCUCGGUUAUGGUGAUUUUACUUCUGCGUAGGUAUUCUUGUCUAGACGUAGCGUUAGUUUUGCAACUUUCGUUAAGUUGAACCAAUGACUCAAUAUCUUAGAGCUUUUUUGGAUGUUGGGAGGUAGCUUAUUUUCUUGCGUCUUCUUAGCAGCCUAAGUUUGGGAAGGGGAGCAGCAGUUUUUUCUAGCUAUAAAUAGCUAACUGUCCUUUGAGUUCGCAAUCCUUUUUCUUUUUUAAUUUUUAAUGUACUUAUUUGUCUUUCAAAUGCUGCUGGGUUGUUUUUCGUUUGUUUCGAUUUAUUGCACUCAUUACUUUGUUUUUCGUUUCAAUUUAAUGCACUCACUACUUUGCUGGAAAUUAAGAUUCAUGAGUUGUUAUUUGAUUUGGUAAUCGAUGAAAAAUGUUCACAAUGUAAGUAUUGAUUAGGUUUCUCAUGUAACUUCGGUGCAUUGUGAAGUAUGCGUAAGCCCGUGUGGGCCUUCUCUAGUGAAUAAUACGAGUCGUGCCAUUUCCAAUUAUUUUGAUAUUGUGACUGGUAUUAUUGCUAUUGAUUACAAAAUGAUUGUUGGUCUUUUCUUUCUUCUUUUGGUCUGGUGCUACAUAAUGAAUUGCUAUGUAUUACUGAUAUGGACUCUGAUGAUUUACAUUCAAAUGGAACGUGGUUGGGGAUACUAACUUUAGCGUACUCUGUUUAUGGUUGUGCUGAUCUACAGUGUUGAUUUGAAGGUUUUGAUUAACUGAAAAGGUUUGAUCUAUCUUGGUUCAGCAUAUAUGGCCUCUACUAUUGGUAAACCGGGUGAUGAUUCCAUGAUAGUUGAAAAGCUCCCGGAGGAGAUUAAUGAAAUGAAAAUCAAGGAUGAAAAGGAAAUGGAUACUGCAAUGGUGGAUGGAAAUGGAACUGAAACUGGCCGUAUUAUUGUGACCACUAUUGGUGGUCGACAAGGUCAACCUAAACAGACUAUAAGUUACAUGGCAGAACGUAUUGUUGGACAAGGCUCAUUUGGUAUUGUGUUUCAGGCUAAAUGUCUUGAAACUGGAGAAACUGUAGCAAUCAAGAAAGUUUUGCAGGAUAAAAGAUACAAGAAUCGCGAAUUGCAAACAAUGCGCCUUCUUGAUCAUCCCAAUGUUGUAUCACUAAAACAUUGCUUCUUUUCUACCACAGAUAAAGAUGAACUCUAUCUCAAUUUGGUACUUGAAUAUGUACCUGAGACUGUAUAUCGUGUGGUGAAGCACUAUAGCAAGGCAAAUCAGCGGAUGCCCCUAAUAUAUGUUAAACUUUACACAUAUCAGAUUUGUAGAGCCUUGGCUUAUAUUCAUGGAUGUGUUGGAGUGUGCCACAGGGACAUUAAGCCACAGAAUCUGCUGGUAAAUCCUCAUACACAUCAGGUCAAACUUUGUGAUUUUGGGAGUGCAAAAGUUCUGGUCAAGGGUGAACCUAACAUAUCGUAUAUCUGCUCUCGAUACUAUCGAGCUCCUGAACUCAUAUUUGGAGCCACUGAGUAUACUACUGCAAUUGAUAUGUGGUCUGUUGGUUGUGUCCUGGCUGAGCUGCUCCUGGGGCAGCCUCUGUUUCCAGGAGAUAGUGGAGUUGAUCAACUUGUUGAAAUUAUCAAGGUACUCGGGACUCCCACUCGUGAGGAAAUAAAAUGCAUGAAUCCAAAUUACACAGAGUUCAAGUUCCCUCAAAUCAAGGCUCACCCCUGGCAUAAGUAGAUAUUCCACAAGCGUAUGCCCCCAGAAGCAGUAGAUCUUGUUUCAAGGCUUCUCCAGUAUUCUCCAAAUUUACGAAGUACUGCUUUGGAUGCAUGUGUUCACCCAUUUUUUGAUGAACUCCGCGACCAUAAUACCC